ensembl:lncRNA
CUUGUGUGAAUGCGCGCACGCGUGUGUGUGCUCAGUCGUGUCCGAUUCUCUGGGAACCCAUGGACUGUCGACCGCCAGGCUCCUCUGUCCAUGGAAUUUUCCAGGCAAAAAUACUGGGAUGGGUUGCCAUUUCUUACUACUCCAGGGAAUCUUCAGGACCCAGGGAUCGAACUGCGUCUCUUGUGUUUCCUGCGUUGGCAGGUGGACUCCACCACUGCACCAUUUGGGCCAAAGCUCUCCACUGAAGCACCGUGAGAUGCCACACUCUGUGCAAAGGCUGAACAUCCAGCAACAGAUUUCUCUUAAGUGAAGAGUGAGGAAGAAUUUUGCAUUCCGUUCCUUGUAAUAUUCAAGCUCACAGCUCAUGAAGACACACCAUGGGUAACUUGUGGAACUGAUGGAACGUGUCUUAGCUUCUAUUUCCUGUUCCCCACUUUCACACACCCCCAGAGCUGAAUGUUGAAGAGUGUGUUCUCAAAAGGACAAUUUUAAUUUUGGAAUAAUGUGAUCACCUCCCACAUCCUCGCCCCCUAACACAUCCUUAAGUUUCCUCUCCCUUAAAGGGAGAUAGAUUUUAUACUGACUGUCUGUGUUAUCAGGGAGGGAAUUGAUCUCAUCAACUUACUCACGCUAAGAUGCUGCACAUUCAUUGUGUUACAUGCCCCAAGGACUCCUGAAUUAUCAGCAUCAUCUUAAUAGCUACUGUUGAUGGAGGGCCUGUCAGAGCCAUUACCUCUCUCAGCUCUCCCCGACUGGUGGUGUAACAUUGUACAGAAGACUGAAUGUCUCUGAGCCAGGGUAAAAUGGAGAUAAUAAGAAGACUGCCUCUCAGGUGUGCUGUGCAGAUAAAAUACGAUGAUCUGCAUGUUAGACCCCUAGCACAUUCCCCAGCUCUAGGCGAGUGCUUAAUGAAUGUUGGUAGUAUCCAUUAAAGAGGUAGAAGCAGCCGUAUUUGUUGUUGUUCAGCUCAAGUUGAGGCAUAAAGAAGUUACCAAAGAUGCCCAAAGAUUGAAAUUCAGCUCUGUUUGCAAAUUUGUUGCUCUUCCCACUGUGUAGUUUUAGGUAAAGGUUAUUAUUUGGUAUAAACGUAUUUCUCGGUAAUGGGGGAUCAGGCUUUGGUGGGGGAGAUGGGUGGCAGAAUAGGGAACUGAGAAUAAUCGAUACCAAAUGGUUAAAAAUAGAAAUGCCAGUAUCUUCUGCCAGACAGGUUGCAUUCUUGGGACCCUCUCAUCCAUUCCACACAG